AACGAACGCUGGCGGCAGGCUUAACACAUGCAAGUCGAGCGCCCCGCAAGGGGAGCGGCAGACGGGUGAGUAACGCGUGGGAAUCUACCCAUCUCUACGGAAUAACGCAUGGAAACGUGUGCUAAUACCGUAUACGUCCUUCGGGAGAAAGAUUUAUCGGAGAUGGAUGAGCCCGCGUUGGAUUAGCUAGUUGGUGGGGUAAAGGCCUACCAAGGCGACGAUCCAUAGCUGGUCUGAGAGGAUGAUCAGCCACACUGGGACUGAGACACGGCCCAGACUUCUACGGGAGGCAGCAGUGGGGAAUAUUGGACAAUGGGCGCAAGCCUGAUCCAGCCAUGCCGCGUGAGUGAUGAAGGCCCUAGGGUUGUAAAGCUCUUUCACCGGUGAAGACAAUGACGGUAACCGGAGAAGAAGCCCCGGCUAACUUCGUGCCAGCCGCCGCAGUAAAAC
rnacentral:rRNA from 1 species